rnacentral:lncRNA from 1 species
AGAAACACUUUAAAAGCUAUAAGCUGUGAAGUUCCAGAUAGAUGUCAGACUUUUUAAAAAUUGUCUUUUGUAAGGUCCCAUGCACCUUCAUAACUUCAUACAUAGCCAUAGGAGAUUACAUCAUCCUCUAUGCUGCUUAGACCUCUCCAUACCCUCUAUUACAUUGCAGUUGUUCAUAUGAUGUGACUUCUUUAUUGGACCGUGACCCUUUGGACAGCA